CUAGUACUCCCUCCGUCCCAAAAUUCUUGUCUUAGAUUUGUCUAGAUACGGAUGUAUCAAGAUACAGAUACAUCCGUAUCUAGACAAAUCUAUACAUCCGUAUCUAGACAAAUCUAAGACAAGAAUUUUGGGACGGGGGGAGUACUUG
rfam:Triticum aestivum genome assembly, contig: Triticum_aestivum_CS42_TGACv1_scaffold_570749_7AS